rnacentral:antisense_RNA from 1 species
GGCUGCUCUGUCUAUGGAGUAGCCAUUCUUUUAUUCCUUUUUUUUCUUAAUAAACUUGCUUUCACUUUGCACUGUGGACUUGCCCUGAAUUCUUUCUUGCGUGAGAUCCAAGAACCCUCUCUUGGAGUCUGGAUCAGGACCCCUGUCCUGUAACAUCUUCCUGGCGACCAUGAAGGGACUAUAGUGAGAAAACCCUGACUCAAUGGCUACCUUUGGGUAAAUGUUGGGGUCCUGUAACAUCUUUCUGGCAAUGACAGAAGUGACUAUACUGCGGAAACCCCUGACCCAACAAAAGCUAACUUUGGGUAAGUGGUGGGGUCUGGUAACAUCUUUCUCACGAACCACAAAAGGGACAAUACUGAGGAGACCCUCCGACGCAAAGGAAAUAGACUGGAGCACUGAUUGGACAACUUUGGCUUGGCCCCCAGAGUGAUGGUGCUGCAGGCUGGAUCACUGGGGGCCGCUCAGGGAAAGGGAAUCCAGAAGCCUGGCAUGCUGACAAAAGGAUAUUGCCUUUUCUCAAAACUCAAGAGUUAUGAAUGGACCUUACCAUACUGAUGCUUUCUGACUGAGCUCCUGUCUACUCUGAAUGCAAGAAACCCUCAUAGUUAGGCAGGAAUAUCAUAAUCGCUAUU